GACGUAGGGCGCGAGCGUUGUCCGGAUUUAUUGGGCGUAAAGAGCUCGUAGGCGGCUUGUCGCGUCGUCCGUGAAAACCUGCGAGCCUCAACUGCAGGCUUGCGGUCGAUACGGGCAGGCUAGAGUUCGGUAGGGGAGACUGGAAUUCCUGGUGUAGCGGUGAAAUGCGCAGAUAUCAGGAGGAACACCGGUGGCGAAGGCGGGUCUCUGGGCCGAUACUGACGCUGAGGAGCGAAAGCGUGGGGAGCGAACAGG
rnacentral:rRNA from 1 species